GUCCACGCUGUAAACGAUGCAUACUAGGUGUUGGUCCCGUUGGGGCCAGUGCUGCAGUUAACGCAUUAAGUAUGCCACCUGGGGAGUACGUCGGCAACGAUGAAACUCAAAGGAAUUGACGGGGGCCCGCACAAGCGGUGGAGCAUGUGGCUUAAUUCGAUGCAACGCGAGGAACCUUACCUGGGCUAAAUCCACAACGCUAUCUCUGGAAACAGGGAGUCCCUUCGGGGCGUUAUGGAAGGU
rnacentral:rRNA from 1 species